GACGAACGCUGGCGGCGUGCCUAACACAUGCAAGUCGAACGAAGCUCCCGGAUACAAGCUUCGGCAAGUUGAAGGGAUGACCUAGUGGCGGACGGGUGAGUAACGCGUGAGGAACCUGCCUUUCAAUGGGGGACAACAGUUGGAAACGACUGCUAAUACCGCAUAAAGUGUUUUGGGGGCAUCCCUGGAACACCAAAGAUUUAUUGCUGAAAGAUGGCCUCGCGUCUGAUUAGCUAGUUGGUGGGGUAACGGCUCACCAAGGCGACGAUCAGUAGCCGGACUGAGAGGUUGAACGGCCACAUUGGGACUGAGAUACGGGCCCAGACUCCUACGGGAGGCAGCAGUGGGAAUAUUAGGCAAUGGGGGAACCUGGACCCAGCAACGCCGCGUGAAGGAAGAAGGCUUUCGGG
rnacentral:rRNA from 1 species